rnacentral:rRNA from 1 species
CUACGGGGCGCACCAGGCGCGAAACCUUUACAAUGCGGGAAACCGUGAUAAGGGAAUCCAAAGUGCUCAAGUUUACUUGGGCUUUUGCCAAGAGCAAAAAUCUUGGCGAAUAAGUGGUGGGUAAGACUGGUGCCAGCCGCCGCGGUAACACCAGCGCCACGAGUGGGAAUCAUGUUUAUUUGGCCUAAAGCGUCCGUAGCCGGUCCUGUAAAUCUUUUGUGAAAUCUUCAGGCUUAACCUGUUGGCGUGCAGAAGACACUGCAGGACUAGGAACCGGGAGGAGUCAGAGGUAUGGGAUGGGGAGCGGUAAAAUGCGAUAAUCCAUCUUAGACCACCUGUGGCGAAGGCGUCUGACUAGAACGGAUUCGACGGUGAGGGACGAAAGCCAGGGGAGCGAUCCGGAUUAGAUACCCCUGUAGUC